rnacentral:lncRNA from 1 species
CAAAAAUCCAUCUCAGAACCUCAAGUGCUGGGAAAGAGUUGAGUGGGAGGGCUUCUUGCGGUGUGAAUUGUCACAGGUGACUAAAAUUAAGCUGACCAGGGAGGUAACUAGCUAAUCUAACAAUUCCUAUGUGGCUGGUGGUACGUGGCGUGUUUCUGCAUGGCAGGAGUCGGAGCAGUCACACGGUCUGGAACGCUCGGCUCUGGGCAGGCACCAUGACCAGCGUGGCUCCCAUCUUCAUCAGCCUCACCACCAGGAACAGGAGGCAGAGUCCCACCACAACCCCACAAACUGCUCCAGCAAUCAUGCCAAUAUUUUGGGCAUCUGUUGUCCGGACAAUAAACAGAUGAACA